AACCCUCUCAUUAAACAUUUUUUAACUUGUUUAAACUUGUUUAGUGGAUGUUGAGUGUUUCUGUCAUUAGCUCACUUUAAAUAUAUAAGUCACUUUUCAAAUAAGUUGGAUUGACUUGGUGUAAUAAUUUUAUCAUCACAUCAAGGAAAGUAGCAAUACUUGCCAUCUUGUUUAAUAUAAGGGACUUCUAAAAACCCCCCUUUUUUCAAAAU
rnacentral:misc_RNA from 1 species